GUAGGUGGCAAGCGUUGUCCGGAAUUAUUGGGCGUAAAGCGCGCGCAGGCGGUUCUUUAAGUCUGUUGUGAAAGCCCACGGCUCAACCGUGGAGGGUCAUUGGAAACUGGAGAACUUGAGUACAGAAGAGGAAAGCGGAAUUCCACGUGUAGCGGUGAAAUGCGUAGAGAUGUGGAGGAACACCAGUGGCGAAGGCGGCUUUCUGGUCUGUAACUGACGCUGAGGCGCGAAAGCGUGGGGAGCAAACAGGGAUUAGAUACCCUGGUAGUCCACGCCGUAAACGAUGAGUGCUAAGUGUUAGGGGGGUUUCCCGCCCCCUUAGUGCUGCAGCUAACGCAUUAAGCACUCCGCCUGGGGAGUACGGCCGCAAGGCUG
rnacentral:rRNA from 1 species